UACGGGGGGAGCAAGCGUUGUUCGGAUUUACUGGGCGUAAAGGGCGCGUAGGCGGUCAGCACAAGUCAGUUGUGAAAUCUCCGGGCUUAACUCGGAAAGGUCAACUGAUACUGUGCGACUAGAGUGCGGAAGGGGCAACUGGAAUUCUCGGUGUAGCGGUGAAAUGCGUAGAUAUCGAGAGGAACACCUGCGGCGAAGGCGGGUUGCUGGGCUGACACUGACGCUGAUGCGCGAAAGCCAGGGGAGCGAACGGG
rnacentral:rRNA from 1 species